GAACAUAAUCACUCUUCAAGGGUGAGGCAUUUAAUUUAUUCCACAGGGAUUCGUUUCAAUCCUUUUCGAAAGCUAAUCUCUGCUUUGAAUUCCUGGUGUUUGCCAUUGAGGAAGGGCACACGUAAGAGCCUGCUCAAACCUCCCUUCCCCUUUAAAGCCAUGUCUGAAAAAGAUUAUUUUCCUCCUGCAGCUCCAUUUUCGAUUUGGUCUGAGUCAAAUCGCUGGAUGACCCUGGGAAUAGCUGGCUUCACUGACAGAGCUUUUCCUGAGUCUGCUGACAUCCUUUCUGAUGUGGUUACCCAGCUGGUGCCCCCACCACUCCUUUGCAUCCAGCCAGUCCAGGACACAAGAAACAAGAGGAUAUUGAGCUCCAACAACUGAAAAAAAUGGGAGGACCUUUACCAAGUAUAUUAAAGGAAGUAACCAGAAACCAUUAUCAUUCGCCAACUGAAACAGGGAAACACUAUCCCUAAUAACAUUAAAACAGCAUACUUUUCAAACUAUUUUAGUACCAAGAAAACAUCCAGUGGUUGUGUUUACAAGAAGAGUGGGAGAAAGAGAAGUAGUAUUGGUGAAAUAUCCUAUGUUACAACCUGCAUUACUUAGCCAUUUUGACCUAGAAGAGGAAGAAAAAUGUUUUCGGUUUAUUUCCACAUCAUUUAGGUUAUUAUUCUUAGAGGAUUGGGAUGAAUACCUUCCUGGAAAAAAUGGUUUGUGACAAUACAUGGUGUUUGGGUCUUCUUUAGUAUAAUUGUAUAUGCAAAAAUAAGGAGAAAAAUACUUCAGUUAUUAAACUUCGUCAUGAAAGCUGAAGGGUAUUGUUUCAACCCUUAUUGCACCAAUAGGAUAUAAAAUUCAAUAUGUCAGGCUUAAAUGUGUCUACCUCUUUGCCAUUUUGUAGAAAUUAUACCCAUGAGUUUUAUGAAUUAUUGGCAAAAUCUAAAUUAUUUCAAUGGAAAUGAGCCCAUUCCAGAAGGGAUUUGUUGGAUACAAUCCUGGGAGGAAUAGGUACAAGAACAGGAAUUGCAUAUGCCUAUGAUAUUGAGAUCCAGGCAAACAAGUUCCUUGGGACAAUUACAGUUUCAGAUAUUGAGAUUGCAAGGAGGUGAUACAGUUGAUUCAUACAGGUUACAUUUGUUGGAAGCAGGACUCUCAGAAAAAGCCAUGCAGGCUAUGAAUAAAACAGUAUUUCAAAUACUUUAUAUAAGAAAUAAAACUGCUGUGGCAAUAUGACAAUUGGCGUGGAAUUUAUAGGAACGUGUCCUUAUGUUAGAGAAAAAUGUAGAAGGGGUUCCUCGUGCAAUGGGUUUACAGAAAGAAUGGGCAACUAUUGAUGGUUGGUACCACCUAUAUAUUUAUAAAUGGGGAAAGGAUAUAUUGUUUAUGAGAAUAAUAUCUUUGUAAAAUACCACUCAAGGCAACAUUAGGAGAGGAGAAAUAUGUAAAGUUGCAGCAAAAGUUGGUAGUUACGGACCAAAACUUAUUCUAUGGAUAUGUUACGUGUAAAUCUAGUGUGGGCCUUAUAAAGGAUAAUAGGACUUUUGAGCCGAAUAGAAUGUCAUUUACAAAGGUUAACAAAUUAAUAAUAAUGAAAUACGAUGUAUAGUUGCCCAGGAAUCUGCUCUUACUGAAUAUCAUUGGUGGGAUAUCUUUUAUGUCUACUCAUUGAAAGCAUCUGCUUUUUUUCUUUUCUUUUUUUUUUUUUUGAAAUCAUUUAUUCAGCUUACUGUAAUUUUACUGUCAUUACUUUUAUGUCCUGCAUCUUAUUUUGAUGCUUACAACGUAUUAAUACUACUAUUCAAGUAUGUACUGCAUUUCUUAAAGAAUAUAUGUGAUUUAUUAUUUAUUAAUAAAUCAAGAAGGGGAGACUGUGAGGCCUAAAAAUGAAUUACCUCCAUAAUCAACUACCUCUAUAAUCAAUAAAACGGUUAUUUCUAAGAAGAUUUGUGUCAUUUUGUUUCUUCUUGAAAACACUCUGAUCUAAAAGAAUCUCCUGUCAUUAGACUUAUGACACCCAUCCUACUCCAUCUCUUCUAGCUAAGCUGCAGCAAUAUCACUGUCAGGAGGGCAGCUCUGCUUCUGUAUUAAACCAUUUAAACAAACAAGGGAGUUUUCUAUUAGGGACAUGAAGGAGAAGUUCAUUUUGGUUUAAUUUUAAU
rnacentral:lncRNA from 1 species